rnacentral:pre_miRNA from 1 species
GAAAUACUCCCUCUGUCUGAAAAUAUUUGUCAUCAAAAUGGACAAAAAAGGAUGUAUCUAGAACUAAAAUAUAUCUAGAUACAUUCCCUUUUAUUCAUUUUGGUGACAAGUAUUUCCGGACGGAGGGAGUACAAC